UGUGGUGCUGAGGACCUUUGUCAGUUCAUGCCAAGGCCCUUACAUCUCAACUGAACACUGACAAAUACGGAGCUGGAAUCAGGCUGGCUCCCC